GAUGAACGCUGGCGGCAUGCCUUACACAUGCAAGUCGAACGGCAGCACGGGAGCAAUCCUGGUGGCGAGUGGCGAACGGGUGAGUAAUAUAUCGGAACGUGCCCAGUCGUGGGGAUAACGUAGCGAAAGCUACGCUAAUACCGCAUACGAUCUAUGGAUGAAAGCGGGGGAUCGCAAGACCUCGCGCGAUUGGAGCGGCCGAUAUCAGAUUAGGUAGUUGGUGAGGUAAAGGCUCACCAAGCCGACGAUCUGUAGCUGGUCUGAGAGGACGACCAGCCACACUGGGACUGAGACACGGCCCAGACUCCUACGGGAGGCAGCAGUGGGGAAUUUUGGACAAUGGGCGAAAGCCUGAUCCAGCAAUGCCGCGUGAGUGAUGAAGGCCUCGGUGUAAGACGUCUUUACUUCGGUACGGACGUAAUAGUACGGU
rnacentral:rRNA from 1 species